GUUUAAAAAGCAAAGUCGAAGCUACAUCAGAGAAUCUGACAGGUUUGUGCCUCGGAGUGUGUGGAUGGGUUUGCAGGGGCACAUCUACGUCAGAUGGCCCUGGGCUAAUCUGUGCAUUUAUUCAUGAGAAAGAGGUCAUUCAAUCCAAUCACUGCAAUGUAGUAGUUAUAAAUUAUAACGGUUACAAUAGAACAUAAUAUUCAUGAGAAAGUAUCGCUUCUGUCUUCCCUCAUUGUUGUCAUUCAGACAUGGUUCAGUGCGCCAGCACAAACGCGUUGUUUGCAUUUCCCUGCGACGCGACGCAACGCGACGCGAGCUGAACUUUGGGUGCAGGCAGUUGGUUUGCCGUGUUCUACAAACACAACUGGAAAAUAGGUUUGUAGCAAACAUUUUGCACCGGAGAACUUUGUAAACUGGGCACUAGUGGAAUCCGGUUUCGCUGAUCGUCUUGUUUUAAAGAGAGAAGCUGUACCAAUUCCUGUCUCCACAGAUUUGUUGCAGUUGUGUGGCGAGGUGGGGUGCCAGUAGGCCCGGAUUGGCUAAUCGGGAGCACCGGGAGGAUCCCCGGUGGGCGGGUCUGUUGUCGUGCCACUGCUGUGAACUGCUGUGUGGGAGAAGGCUUUAAGACCAGGCUGCUCCCGCUUCACAGCGAGCGAGACUCGCGCUAACUGCACCCUUCACCGUCCGCUUUUUAAUUUACAAAAUCAGUUUGGGCGAAUGCAAACAAUUUAUUUAUCAUGAGCCCAACAUCCAGCACGGCAGGAAAACAUUUACACUCCUUGAGGGAAGAUGUCUUUCAUUGUUAGUUAAUGCUGUUAAACAGAGAGGGGAAAAUGCAUUACAAAAAAAUAAAUUAAAUUAAAUCCUUCUAGCGUAGGCUAUUCUUA